rnacentral:rRNA from 1 species
AUUGAACGCUGGCGGCAGGCCUAACCCAUGCAAGUCGAACGAGUGGCGGACGGGUGAGUAAUUUCUGGGAAACUGCCCGAUGGAGGGGGAUAACUACUGGAAACGGUAGCUAAUACCGCAUACCAUCGGAUGUGCCCAGCUGGGAUUAGCUAGUCGGUGGGGUAAAGGCUCACCUAGGCGACGCUCCCUAGCUGGUCUGAGAGGAUGACCAGCCACACUGGAACUGAGACACGGUCCAGACUCCUACGGGAGGCAGCAGUGGGGAAUAUUGCACAAGGGGCGCAAGCCUGAUACAGCCAUGCCGCGUGUAUGAAGAAGGCCUUCGGGUUGUAAAGUACUUUCAGCGGGGAGGCGUUACCCGCAGAAGAAGCACCGGCUAACUCCGUGCCAGCAGCCGCGGUAAUAC